rnacentral:rRNA from 1 species
UUCCAGACUCCUACGGGAGGCAGCAGUGGGGGAUAUUGCACAAUGGGGGGAACCCUGAUGCAGCGACGCCGCGUGGGUGAAGGAGCGUUUCGGCGCGUAAAGCCCUAUCGGCAGGGAAGAAGAUGACGGUACCUGACCAAGAAGCCCCGGCUAACUACGUGCCAGCAGCCGCGGUAAUACGUAGGGGGCAAGCGUUAUCCGGAUUUACUGGGUGUAAAGGGGGCGCAGACGGCAAUGCAAGCCAGGAGUGAAAGCCCGGGGCCCAACCCCGGGACUGCUCUUGGAACUGCGUGGCUGGAGUGCAGGAGGGGCAGGCGGAAUUCCUGGUGUAGCGGUGAAAUGCGUAGAUAUCAGGAGGAACAUCAGUGGCGAAGGCGACUAUCUGGCACAUAACUGACGCUGAGGAGCGAAAGCGUGGGUAGCAAACAGGAUUAGAUACCCCGGUA